CUGAGAAAUUGCAGUAGACGCCCAAACAAACGUUAUUACUUAUUACACAAAAGUGCUGAGUGUAUUUUUGAUAAUUAGUACGUGCAAACUUUUGUGCAACUAACAAAUCACAAAUUACACAGUUGCGUAAUUUGCAAUGUUUUACUAUUAAUUCUAAGAAAACUAAAAAAUAUUAUGUCAAUGCAAUAUUAAUGGUAGGUAUGCAAUGAUGAUUUUGAAAUAAUCACACAAUUUUUUUUCUGGGUAACGACGAAAGUUGUGUCAGACUUGUUUGUUCCGUAUGUCAUGAUCUAACUCCUUAGUCGGGAAGUUAUUAUGUACUAUGUAGGACUGUGAAGGUUACGAGCUCAUCGCAAACAGUGCGACGUUCAAAAAUAACAUGACAAAAAUUAACCAAUAAAUCCGAAUCUGCGAAAAAAUUAAAAAAAAAAUUUCUUGACCUAAGGAACCAUCUCGUAAAAUCUUUCAACGUUUUUUCCGGACAGCCUAUUUAUUGAAAUGAAGAAAGAUGAUGACCAACGAGAGAAAAGAGACAGACCGCUUUUGUAUAUAAGAUGGAAUUUUUUUAAAAAAGACAUUAAGGAUGUUCUUAUUGUAAUUUUUGCCAUCGCAGUGGUUUUUAUUAUUUUAUACUUAAAAAAUCUUUUGCCCAAACAACUUUUUUUGACAUAAGAUGGGUCCAACCAUGAACAACCAUUCAACUGCUUUUUGGAAAUUCUGCAAGGACGACUGUAAGGGUAUUUUUGUGGUUCUAGCAAUCGUAACAAUUUGCGUACCAAUGUCUAUGUUUGUUGUUUAUUGUAUUCAGCGUUUUUUAAAAGAUUCAAGAGAAGAUAUUUCACAAAAUCAGCAAACUAAACACAAACAUGAAGAACCUCAGGAAACGAAGAAACGUCCACAAUUAAAAUUUCUAGUGAAGGAUCUUGAAGUUAGAAACAUUAACGGUUAUAAUCAUUUUAAGAAUUUUAAUUAUGUAAUAUAAAAAAUGUUAUGUAGGUACUUUUUAUUUAUGCCAAACGUAAAUUUUAUGUUGUGUUUCAGUUGAUUUGCUUGUAUUAAAAAAUAAUAACAUA